UACAGAGGCCAAGAGCGUUGUUCGGAUUUACUGGGCGUAAAGGGCGCGUAGGCGGCAUGGCGUGUCAAGUGUGAAAUCUCCGGGCCCAACCCGGAAAGUGCGCUUGAAACUACCAUGCUUGGAGUCCGGGAGGGGGAAUCGGAAUAUAGGGUGUAGCGGUGAAAUGCGUUGAUAUCCUAUAGAACACCGGAGGCGAAGGCGGAUUCCUUGAACGGUACUGACGCUGAGGCGCGAAAGUCGGGGGAGCAAA
rnacentral:rRNA from 1 species